rnacentral:rRNA from 1 species
AUUGAACGCUGGCGGAAUGCUUACACAUGCAAGUCGAACGGCAGCACGGGGGCAACCCUGGUGGCGAGUGGCGAACGGGUGAGUAAUACAUCGGAACGUGCCCAGUCGUGGGGGAUAACUACGCGAAAGCGUAGCUAAUACCGCAUACGAUCUACGGAUGAAAGCGGGGGACCGUAAGGCCUCGCGCGAUUGGAGCGGCCGAUGGCAGAUUAGGUAGUUGGUGAGGUAAAGGCUCACCAAGCCUGCGAUCUGUAGCUGGUCUGAGAGGACGACCAGCCACACUGGGACUGAGACACGGCCCAGACUCCUACGGGAGGCAGCAGUGGGGAAUUUUGGACAAUGGGCGAAAGCCUGAUCCAGCCAUUCCGCGUGCAGGAUGAAGGCCCUCGGGUUGUAAACUGCUCCGUACGGAA